rnacentral:ncRNA from 1 species
GCGGAAACGGCAGUAUUGAAGCUUCGGUGGAUUUACUGGACGUCGAGCGGCGGACGGGUGAGUAACGGCUGGGAACCUGCCCUGAUGAGGGGGAUAACCGUUGGAAACGACGGCUAAUACCGCAUAAUGUCUACGGACCAAAGGUGGCCUCUACAUGUAAGCUAUCGCGUUGGGAUGGGCCCAGUUAGGAUUAGCUAGUUGGUAAGGUAAUGGCUUACCAAGGCGACGAUCCUUAGCUGGUUUGAGAGGAUGAUCAGCCACACUGGGACUGAGACACGGCCCAGACUCCUACGGGAGGCAGCAGUGGGGAAUAUUGCACAAUGGGGGAGACCCUGAUGCAGCCAUGCCGCGUGUGUGAAGAAGGCCUUCGGGUUGUAAAGCACUUUCAGCAGUGAGGAAGGUGGUGUACUUAAUAGGUGCAUGGCUUGACGUUAGCUGCAGAAGAAGCACCGGCUAACUCCGUGCCAGCAGCCGCGGUAAUACGGAGGGUGCGAGCGUUAAUCGGAAUUACUGGGCGUAAAGCGCAUGCAGGCGGUUUGUUAAGUCAGAUGUGAAAGCCCGGGGCUCAACCUCGGAACCGC